rnacentral:rRNA from 1 species
UACAGAGGUCUCAAGCGUUGUUCGGAUUCAUUGGGCGUAAAGGGUGCGUAGGCGGCGCGGUAAGUCGGGUGUGAAAUCUUGGAGCUUAACUCCGAAACUGCAUUCGAUACUGCCGUGCUUGAGGACUGGAGAGGAGACUGGAAUUUACGGUGUAGCGGUGAAAUGCGUAGAUAUCGUAAGGAAGACCAGUGGCGGAAGGCGGCUCACUGGCCCGGUACUGGAC